rnacentral:tRNA from 19 species
UCUCCCAUAGCUCAGUCGGUAGAGCGACGGACUGUUAAUCCGCAGGUCCCUGGUUCGAGCCCAGGUGGG